CUCGCACCGGUCCGGGGGCGCGGCGGCGGGAGUGGUGCACGGGGCCGCCCCGGUGCCCAUUGGCUCUGCUGCGGCCCGGGCUCGACGCGGCCCCAUAAAGGCAGCGGGUCGGUCCGUCCAUCCGCUCGGCUGCCGCUGCCCAGCCAUGCCCUCUCCGCAACACGCCCUGCCCUGGCUGCUCGCCGCCUGCUGCCUCUGCGCCCUCCCGCGGGGCUCAGGGUUCCCCCAGCCUUUUUCGCUCUCCUGGGACGGCGCGGACCUGUCCAAAAGCCAGCAGCUGGCAUUGUGUUUCAGUCAGUGGAUGGAACUGUCUAAUCAACCCCAGAUCUCCAGCACUGUUUUGGAUCUCUGUUAUUCCAUAUUCAAUAGCAUGCAAACAAAUGAGAGCUCAAGAACCAAAACAUCCACUUACUUCUGGGGAAUCACAGAUUGCUGCUGCAAAGUUUACAAAGAAGGAUAGUCAUGCGACUCUGGGACGGCCUUUUUUCCUUUUCAGGCCUCGGAAUGGAAGAACUGUUGAAAGCAGUGAAUACCAUGGAAUAUGAAGUUCAUUGGUCGACUUACCAGUGCGAAGACUUGGUUUACAUAAAGAAACUUCCCAUUGCACUAGUUGUCUAUUAUGUGACUCAGUUGUCUGGAUUUUGCUGUUCCAUGUAAUAAAUUUGCAAUCAUU